rnacentral:rRNA from 1 species
CCCUUAGAUGUUCUGGGAUGCACGCGCGCUACACUGUCGGAUUCAGCGAGUCAUAUCCUUAACCGAAAGGUUUGGGUAAUCUUUUGAAAGUCCGACGUGAUGGGGAUUGAUCAUUGCAAUUAUUGAUCAUGAACGAGGAAUUCCUAGUAAGCGCGAGUCAUCAGCUCGCGUUGAUUACGUCCCUGCCCUUUGUACACACCGCCCGUCGCUACUACCGAUUGAAUGGUUUAGUGAGAUCUUCGGAUUGGCGCCUACGCGGCUUCUCUGAGGCCACGCUGGAUGCCGAAAAGUUGCUCAAACUGUAUCAUUUAGAGGAAGUAAAAGUCGUAACA